CUCAGUAACGGCGAGUGAAGCGGCAAGAGCUCAAAUUUGAAAUCUGGCCCCUUUGGGGUCCGAGUUGUAAUUUGCAGAGGAUGCUUCGGGUGCGGUCCCCGUCUAAGUGCCCUGGAACGGGCCGUCAUAGAGGGUGAGAAUCCCGUCUGGGAUGGGCGGCCGCGCCCGUGUGAAGCUCCUUCGACGAGUCGAGUUGUUUGGGAAUGCAGCUCUAAGCGGGUGGUAAAUUUCAUCUAAAGCUAAAUACUGGCCGGAGACCGAUAGCGCACAAGUAGAGUGAUCGAAAGAUGAAAAGCACUUUGAAAAGAGAGUUAAACAGCACGUGAAAUUGUUGAAAGGGAAGCGUUGUCCACCAGACUCGCCCGGGGGGGUUCAGCCGGCACGUGUGCCGGUGUACUCCUCUCCGGGCGGGCCAGCAUCGGUUUGGGCGGCUGGUGAAAGGCUCCGGGAAGGUACCACCCUUCGGGGUGACUUAUAGCCCGGGGUGCCAUGCAGCCAGCCUGGACCGAGGCCCGCGCUUCGGCGAGGAUGCUGGCGUAAUGGUGGUCAACGGCCCGUCUUGAAACACGGACCAAGGAGUCUAACAUCUAUGCGAGUGUUCGGGUGUCAAACCCGUCCGCGCAGUGAAAGCGAACGGAGGUGGGAGCCUUUCGGGGCGCACCAUCGACCGAUCCUGAUGUCUUCGGAUGGAUUUGAGUAAGAGCAUAGCUGUUGGGACCCGAAAGAUGGUGAACUAUGCCUGAAUAGGGCGAAGCCAGAGGAAACUCUGGUGGAGGCUCGCAGCGGUUCUGACGUGCAAAUCGAUCGUC
rnacentral:rRNA from 1 species